GUCCAUAUGACAAUUCGGCGGUACAUAUACUAAAAUAGGAACGAUACAGAGAAGAUUAGCAUGGCACCUGAGCAAGGAUGACACGCAAAAUCGUGAAGUGUUCCAUAUUUUU
rfam:Schistosoma rodhaini strain Burundi genome assembly, scaffold: SROB_scaffold0022224